rnacentral:rRNA from 1 species
UACAGAGGUCCCAAGCGUUGUUCGGAUUCACUGGGCGUAAAGGGUGCGUAGGUGGUCGGGUAAGUCCGAUGUGAAAGCCCCGGGCUCAACCUGGGAAUGGCAUUUGAUACUCGAGGGCUUGAGUACGGGAGAGGAGAGUGGAAUUCCCAGUGUAGAGGUGAAAUUCGUAGAUAUUGGGAAGAACACCGGUGGCGAAGGCGGCUCUCUGGACCGUAACUGACGCUGAGGCGCGAAAGCGUGGGGAGCAAACAGG